ACGAACGCUGGCGGCGUGCCUAAUCCAUGCCAGUAGAACGCUGAAGGAGGAGCUUGCUCUUCUGGAUGAGUUGCGAACGGGUGAGUAACGCGUAGGUAACCUGCCUGGUAGCGGGGGAUAACUAUUGGAAACGAUAGCUAAUACCGCAUAACAGUAGAUGUUGCAUGACAUUUACUUAAAAGGUGCAAUUGCAUCACUACCAGAUGGACCUGCGUUGUAUUAGCUAGUUGGUGGGGUAACGGCUCACCAAGGCGACGAUACAUAGCCGACCUGAGAGGGUGAUCGGCCACACUGGGACUGAGACACGGCCCAGACUCCUACGGGAGGCAGCAGUAGGGAAUCUUCGGCAAUGGACGGAAGUCUGACCGAGCAACGCCGCGUGAGUGAAGAAGGUUUUCGGAUCGUAAAGCUCUGUUGUAAGAGAAGAACGAGUGUGAGAGUGGAAAGUUCACACUGUGACGGUAUCUUACCAGAAAGGGACGGCUAACUACGUG
rnacentral:rRNA from 1 species